GGGCAUUUGGUCUAGUGGUAUGAUUUUCGCUUUGGGUGCGAGAGGUCCCGAGUUCAAUUCUCGGAAUGCCCC
rnacentral:tRNA from 1 species